rnacentral:rRNA from 1 species
AUUGAACGCUGGCGGCAGGCCUAACACAUGCAAGUCGAACGCGUGGCGGACGGGUGCGUAAUGUCUGGGAAACUGCCUGAUGGAGGGGGAUAACUACUGGAAACGGUAGCUAAUACCGCAUCCCAUCGGAUGUGCCCAGAUGGGAGUAGCUAGUAGGUGGGGUAAAGGCUCACCUAGACGACGAUCCCUAGCUGGUCUGAGAGGAGGACCAGCGACAGUGGAACUGAGACAAGGUCCAGAAACCAAAGGGAGGCAGCAGUGGGGAAUAUUGCACAAUGGGCGAAAGCAUGAUGCAGCCAUGCCGCGUGGAGGAAGAAGGACUGGGGGUGGUAAAGUACGUGUAGCGGGGAGGAGGGACCCGAAGAAGAAGCACAGGCUAACUCCGUGCCAGCAGCAGAGGUAAUUC